GUCACACCAGAUAUUCCAUCACAUAAAAGUAAUGGGAAUGUUAGUUUGAAACCUUCCUGUUGAACCAGCAAAAAUGUAUUCGAGAUUCCGUCGGCUUGAUAAUUUCAAUACAACUCGAUUGCAUCAUUCUCGUGAGCAUCACACGACGUUUCUACAAUCAAGAUCUUCUUCUAUGAUGUAUUCGCUCAGUUAGCUUUGCGUCGGUGGAAAACAAAGAGAAGCAUAACAACAGUUUUCGCUUUAUUUCACCUCCAGUUCGGCCCCCGACUGUGUACCAGCUCGCAUGUUGUUCCUAUAAACAAAUAAAGAGGGCGAGUGAAAGUCUUGAGGGCUGAGCGUUUUGUGGGGCCGACUGAAUAAAAUUGGCCUGAGUCACGCGUCAUCUUUUUAUGGAAACAAACAUAUCAGUCGCGUAUACCAUGAAAUAAAUGAAAGGUGGAGAUCCGAGGCAAGUAAGGGGAAGAGUGAAGCAUGAGGAUGAAAAGUAAAUCCUUUUUCGUGGCAAGACAUUGAAUUACGGCUCACUAUGGAAGCAGGCAGAGAGAGGCAGUACAAGAGUUCUUACGUUGGAGGACCAAGAGGACAUGAAGAACGAAUAAGCCAAGCGGAAGAAGGAUUACUAGAAGUAGUAAUGGCAGCAGAAAUACAAGUGAAAUCAAAAAAGUAUAGCAAAACGUAUAUGAGAGAAUAGAAUGAAGAAAGAGGCUUCUUGGGAGGAAAAUUUAAGAAAUGUAUUAUGUUCUUAAGAAUACUCGAUGAUAGAGCAAAUGUAUUCUUUUGCUAUAUACAAGAAGAGUUCAAUUUUCGUCUGCUAGAAAGAGAAUAUAUCGAAAAACACUGGAAUGAAAAGGAGAAAUAAGUCAUCUGAUGGUUGAGAAAUGUUCGAGGUCAAAUUAGGUAAUUAUAACAAAAAAUCAUAAUUUGAGCUGUGUCAUCGGCUCUAUGUCAAAUGUAGAAAAAUAAUUUUUUCUAACAUUGGUUUGUACUAAUAUUAUAUAUAGGCUUUGCCAUAUCAUAAGUGCGAAAUACCUCUGCUGAGGGCAUAAUAAUUCAUCGCCAAUGUAGGCAAUUGUACAAAUCAAUGUCAUGUAUUGCAUUGUGUAAUAUAAUAUUUAUUGAUAAACUGGAAAAUUAUUAUUGGAAUAAUUGCCUCUCAAAUUUCCCCUACUGCAAAUCAGAAGUGUAGUUGAGUGACAAUAGGACCGAAAUUUAAAUGUCUGUGACUGCGAUAUCAAUGUUGAUAGAUCCUUAUAUUAAAAAACAUACGGCGUUCUACCUAAUUAGAUCUUCUAUGAAAUUAUGAAUAGAUAAAAAAUAGUCGUGAUCCUAAAAUGAUUGAAGAAAAAAAAACAAUCGUUUUGGGGCAGUGAAAUAACGACUCCAGCAGUAAUCGAUACUACUUUCAAUCUUUCUUUCUAUUGUCAAUUACUUUUACCGAAAAAUCCGCUAGAUUUUUUAGAACACCAAUGUGCUAUCAGUAACAGUAUUAAUCGUUCUGUUAAUUAGUUUUUGCAGUGUAGAUUAUUUGGAUUUAGCUAGUCAUUUAUAAAUCAUUCUGUGCCUGGAACAAGUUUUGCUUCUCACAUUUUUUUAUAUCCGAUCAUGAAUCAACGAAAAACUUUGACCCUGAAGACUCUCUGGAGGAGCGAAUUCAAAAUGAAUCGUGCAGAUUUUCGAGAAAAUAAUAUGAUACUUGGCGUCAAGACGCUGCCGCGUCUGACAUAAAAUGGAUAAAUAAUCAACUAGUCAGUAAUGCACGGCGAUUGAAAAAAGUUGUCGCGAAAAGAUGGCUUCUUAAAAUGGUUGAAAUGUUCAA